GUUCCUUGAUAGAGGGAAUUCCUAACAUCAAAACAUCAUUCCAUUAACUUCCUUUUCCAACAUAUACUUUUAAAAUCUACCUUUCUUUAGCUGCCUUGAUGUAUAACCAGUUAUUAAUAUCUAUUAAAUGCAUUUUGAUGAGUUUGAGCAUAAAGGUAUCUACAUCUAGCUGUACUUCCAAUCUCUACAUUAUUUUUUUUAAUUUAUUUUUAUUAUUUUGAAUUAUGUGUGUGCCUGCCCACAUGUGGCUAUGUGCACAGGAGUACAAGUGCUCUCAGGGACCACAGGCCUUGGCUUCCCUAAAGCUAGAGUUGUGAACUACUGUGAGCCACCAUACAUGGUGCUGGGAUGAGUCCUCUGAAGAGCAGCAAGUGACCCAUCUCUCUAGCUCCUACUUCAAGUUUUUUAUGCCAUUUAUCUAGAGCUGUCCGUGUGUGUUCCUUAGCGUACAGGUGGAGGUUCCACAGUGAAGUUGGCUGACAACCUGUGGAGUCAAUUUUUUCCUUCCAUCACGUGGGUCUCAGGGAUCAAACUCAGGCAGGCUCUCUCGGCAGCAAGUGACUUUACCUGCUGAGCUACCUCACUGGUCCCAAACUAGUUAUAUUUUAGUGUUUUCCAGUCUGGGUCUGUGAAUGGACUCCAAACAUACUUUGUACUCAAGAUCUGAGGUUUAGAUGCCUUACCCACCAGCAAGCACAGUUUCUUGAGCUUUUCUGGCCAAUGUCAACUAUACAUGACUCCCCCCAUGUGUGAGGAUCACACAUCCCAUGCAGCAGUAGACAAGAGUAUCUAACUGAGAGGCAGUGGUCCUUUGACAUCUAAUAUCCUACCACAACCCAGCUACAACCAGGGAGUAGUUUCUUUAGCAGGUGACUGCCUGUGAAAUGUGUACUUACAACCCAGUCAAACCCCACAAUUAAAAAGACUACGGCUGCAAGAUGUAUAAUUAACCUCAGGUAAGGGCAACUCUUCCAUCAAACAAGGAUUCUUAUAAGUAAGCAGCCGAUAGAGAAAGUCCUAUAAAUACAGAAAGGAAAAGCUUUCGGGGGAAUCUGAACUUGACGCUAGUAUAAACUUCAACUCAAAGACAUGUAAAUGCGGUCACUGGGACGCUCAGUCCUGAAAUGUGCCUCAGUCUUGGAAACACCAGAGGAUUAAGGGUCUCAGAGCAUUUACCACAGUCUGCCCUUUCACAAAGGCAGG
rnacentral:lncRNA from 1 species